UAGAGUGACGCAAAUCAGAAGAUUUUUUUGCAGUUGUAUCCUGAGACUCAUUACGUUAUCGAACCGUCGCACUACGGGACGUAUUUUGAGUUAAGGAAAGAGAUAAUAUCUCGACUCUGCAGUUGUAUCAUCCUUUUCUUAAUCUUUGGUAUAAUCUUAUCAAUUUUAUUCUUUACAAUAGUCAGUUCUCCGUAGUUUAUAUAAUACGGUUCUAUCAGCCAACAUUAAGAAAGAAUGAUGAUAAACACAACAACAAGAACAUUAACUACUUAUAAACACAUGUACACAAAGAAUCAAUCAAGGAAAGAAGCUCAGGUUUAAUCAUUAUCAAACCCGAGUUCACUUUGGAUUAAACCUUAAACAAGAAAGAAACGCUUCAAAAGAAAGAUCAGAGGAACACAACAAUC
rnacentral:lncRNA from 1 species